AUUCGGCGAGACUUCGAUGAAACAGUGGUAAAAUAUGAUGAUUUCGAUGAUGAGAGCAAGAGAUUUUUUAUAUCCUCUUUCUCCUUUUGCGUUUUUCUUUUUCCUUUUCUUUUUUCCCUUUUUUCUUUUCCAUUUUUCAUUUAGUCUUUUUCUUUUCCCCUUUACCAUUUUGUGUUUUCUGUUUUGUUAAUUAUUUUUUGGAUUAUUGUCAGUGAAAAGUGUGGGUGACAACUCCAUAUAGUUUUAUAGAAUGCUAAUUUUUGUAAAUUUUCAUGUGGUUGAUUCAAU
rnacentral:lncRNA from 1 species